AGAGUUUGAUUCUGGCUCAGAUUGAACGCUGGCGGCAGGCCUAACACAUGCAAGUCGAACGGCAGCACAGAAGAGCUUGCUCUUUGGGUGGCGAGUGGCGGACGGGUGAGUAAUGUCUGGGAAACUGCCCGAUGGAGGGGGAUAACUACUGGAAACGGUAGCUAAUACCGCAUAACGUCGCGAGACCAAAGUGGGGGACCUUCGGGCCUCACACCAUCGGAUGUGCCCAGAUGGGAUUAGCUAGUAGGUGGGGUAAUGGCUCACCUAGGCGACGAUCCCUAGCUGGUCUGAGAGGAUGACCAGCCACACUGGAACUGAGACACGGUCCAGACUCCUACGGGAGGCAGCAGUGGGGAAUAUUGCACAAUGGGCGCAAGCCUGAUGCAGCCAUGCCGCGUGUAUGAAGAAGGCCUUCGGGUUGUAAAGUACUUUCAGCGGGGAGGAAGGCGGUGAGGUUAAUAACCUUGCCGAUUGACGUUACCCGCAGAAGAAGCACCGGCUAACUCCGUGCCAGCAGCCGCGGUAAUACGGAGGGUGCAAGCGUUAAUCGGAAUUACUGGGCGUAAAGCGCACGCAGGCGGUCUGUUAAGUCAGAUGUGAAAUCCCCGGGCUUAACCUGGGAACUGCAUUUGAAACUGGCAGGCUUGAGUCUCGUAGAGGGGGGUAGAAUUCCAGGUGUAGCGGUGAAAUGCGUAGAGAUCUGGAGGAAUACCGGUGGCGAAGGCGGCCCCCUGGACGAAGACUGACGCUCAGGUGCGAAAGCGUGGGGAGCAAACAGGAUUAGAUACCCUGGUAGUCCACGCCGUAAACGAUGUCGACUUGGAGGUUGUGCCCUUGAGGCGUGGCUUCCGGAGCUAACGCGUUAAGUCGACCCGCAAGGUUAAAACUCAAAUGAAUUGACGGGGGCCCGCACAAGCGGUGGAGCAUGUGGUUUAAUUCGAUGCAACGCGAAGAACCUUACCUGGCCUUGACAUCCAGAGAACUUAGCAGAGAUGCUUUGGUGCCUUCGGGAACUCUGAGACAGGUGCUGCAUGGCUGUCGUCAGCUCGUGUUGUGAAAUGUUGGGUUAAGUCCCGCAACGAGCGCAACCCUUAUCCUUUGUUGCCAGCGGUUCGGCCGGGAACUCAAAGGAGACUGCCGGUGAUAAACCGGAGGAAGGUGGGGAUGACGUCAAGGUUCAUGG
rnacentral:rRNA from 1 species